ACAGUGGUGGUUCAGCGGUAGGAUUCUUGCCUUCCAUGCAGGAGGCCCAGAUUUGAUUCCUAGCCAAUGCC
rnacentral:tRNA from 1 species